rnacentral:rRNA from 1 species
GACGAACGCUGGCGGCGUGCUUAACACAUGCAAGUCGAACGGAAAGGCCCCCUUGUGGGGUACUCGAGUGGCGAACGGGUGAGUAACACGUGAGUAACCUACCCUUGACUUUGGGAUAACUUCAGGAAACUGGGGCUAAUAUCGGAUAGGAGCUCCUGCUGCAUGGUGGGGGUUGGAAAGUUUCGGCGGUUGGGGAUGGACUCGCGGCUUAUCAGCUUGUUGGUGGGGUAGUGGCUCACCAAGGCUUUGACGGUUAGCCGGCCUGAGAGGGUGACCGGCCACAUUGGGACUGAGGUACGGCCCAGACUCCUACGGGAGGCAGCAGUGGAGAAUAUUGCACAAUGGGCGGAAGCCUGAUGCAGCAACGCCGCGUGCGGGAUGACGGCCUUCGGGUUGUAAACCGCUUUCGCCUGUGACGAAGCGUGAGUGACGGUAAUGGGUAAAGAAGCACCGGCUAACUACGUG